rnacentral:rRNA from 1 species
GACGAACGCUGGCGGCGUGCUUAACACAUGCAAGUCGAACGGAAAGGCCCUGCUUUUGUGGGGUGCUCGAGUGGCGAACGGGUGAGUAACACGUGAGUAACCUGCCCUUGACUUUGGGAUAACUUCAGGAAACUGGGGCUAAUACCGGAUAGGAGCUCCUGCUGCAUGGUGGGGGUUGGAAAGUUUCGGCGGUUGGGGAUGGACUCGCGGCUUAUCAGCUUGUUGGUGGGGUAGUGGCUUACCAAGGCUUUGACGGGUAGCCGGCCUGAGAGGGUGACCGGCCACAUUGGGACUGAGAUACGGCCCAGACGCCUACGGGAGGCAGCAGUGGGGAAUAUUGCACAAUGGGCGGAAGCGUGAUGCAGCAACGCCGCGUGCGGGAUGACGGCCUUCGGGUUGUAAACCGCUUUCGCCGGUGACGAAGCGUGAGUGACGGUAAUGGGUAAAGAAGCACCGGCUAACUACGUG